CAGUAGGGAUACCCGCUGAACUUAAGCAUAUCAU
rnacentral:rRNA from 2 species